CUACUGAUCCGCCAGUCGACUCAUCGCUCUGGUGGGGAGCUUCCCGGAAACGAAAGUCUUCCGGUUCCGGGGGAAGUAUGGUUGCAAAGCUGAAACUUAAAGGAAUUGACGGAAGGGCACCACCAGGAGUGGAGCCUGCGGCUUAAUUUGACUCAACACGGGGAAACUCACCCCGGMCMGGACACCGUAAGGAUUGACAGAUUGAUAGCUUUUUCAUGAUUCGGUGGAUGGUGGUGCAUGGCCGUUCUUAGUUCGUGGAGCGAUUUGUCUGGUUUAUUCCGAUAMCGAGCGAGACUCUGGCCUACUAAAUAGUUGGCACAUUSCCACUGYGUGCACAACUUCUUAGAGGGAUUUUCGGUGUUCAGCCGCACGAAAUUGAGCAAUAACAGGUCUGUGAUGCCCUUAGAUGUCCGAGGCUGCACGCGCGCUACACUGGCAAAAUCAGCGUGCUUGUCCUCCCCCGAAAGGGGUUGGUAAACCGAUGAAAAUUUGCCGUGAUUGGGAUCGGACAUUGCAAUUAUUGUCCGUGAACGAGGAAUCCCUUGUAAGGGCGAGUCAUCAACUCGUCCUGAAUACGUCCCUGCCCUUUGUA
rnacentral:rRNA from 1 species